rnacentral:rRNA from 1 species
UACGUAGGGGCCUAGCGUUGUCCGGAAUCAUUGGGCGUAAAGAGCUCGUAGGCGGUUCGGCAAGUCACGUGUGAAAUCUCCACGCUUAACGUGGAGGCGCCACGUGAAACUGCCGUGACUCGAGUCCGGUAGGGGAGUGUGGAAUUCCCGGUGUAGCGGUGAAAUGCGCAGAUAUCGGGAGGAACACCAGUAGCGAAGGCGGCACUCUGGGCCGGUACUGACGCUGAGUGAGCGAAAGCCAGGGGAGCAAACGGG